CCUACGGGCGGCAGCAGUGAGGAAUAUUGGUCAAUGGACGGAAGUCUGAACCAGCCAAGUAGCGUGAAGGAUGACUGCCCUAUGGGUUGUAAACUUCUUUUAUAUGGGAAUAAAAUGUUCCACGUGUGGGAUUUUGUAUAUACCAUAUGAAUAAGGCUCGGCUAACUCCGUGCCAACAGCCGCGGUAAUACGGAGGAUCCGAGCGUUAUCCGGAUUUAUUUGGUUUAAAGGGAGCGUAGGUGGAUUGUUAAGUCAGUUGUGAAAGUGUGCGGCUCAACCGUAACAUUGCAGUUGAAACUGGCAGUCUUGAGUACAGUAGAGGUGGGUGGAAUUCGUGGUGUAGCGGUGAAAUGCUUAGAUAUCACGAAGAACUCCGAUUGCGAAGGCAGUUCACUGGACUGCAACUGACACUGAGGCUCGAAAGUGUGGGUAUCAAACAGGAUUAGAUACCCCAGUAGUC
rnacentral:rRNA from 1 species